rnacentral:rRNA from 1 species
AUUGAACGCUGGCGGCAGGCUUAACACAUGCAGGUCGAGCGGAGAUGAGGUGCUUGCACCUUAUCUUAGCGGCGGACGGGUGAGUAAUGCUUAGGAAUCUGCCUAUUAGUGGGGGACAACAUUCCGAAAGGAAUGCUAAUACCGCAUACGUCCUACGGGAGAAAGCAGGGGAUCUUCGGACCUUGCGCUAAUAGAUGAGCCUAAGUCGGAUUAGCUAGUUGGUGGGGUAAAGGCCUACCAAGGCGACGAUCUGUAGUGGGUCUGAGAGGAUGAUCCACCACACUGGGACUGAGACACGGCCCAGACUCCUACGGGAGGCAGCAGUGGGGAAUAUUGGACAAUGGGGGGAACCCUGAUCCAGCCAUGCCGCGUGUGUGAAGAAGGCCUUAUGGUUGUAAAGCACUUUAAGCGAGGAGGAGGCUACUGAGACUAAUACUCUUGGAUAGUGGACGUUACUCGCAGAAUAAGCACCGGCUAACUCUGUGCCAGCCGCCGCAGUAA